AGCGGGGUGGACCAGCGGUAGGUCGCAAGGCUCAUAACCUUGAAGCACAGGUUCGAUUCCUGUCCCCGCAA
rnacentral:tRNA from 1 species